GUCCAUGCAAAUGCUUGCACUCAGCAGCAGGAGCAUAGGGACAGUUCACCCACAGCUCUAAGCAGCUGAGCAGAGAGCUGAGGCAGGAGGGUGUGGGGCUGGGGCUGGGGCACGGUAGCCAGCACUGAGGGCCUCUUCAGGUCCCUUGCGGGAGGGGCGUAGCCUUUAUCCAGGGGGCCACAGGGGUGCCUUAGGAAAGGUCUGAGUAGAGACAGGAAGUGGCCUCUGGCCGAGAUCGCCUGUGCCGGGCCUCAGGGCCAUCCGCUUUCCCACAAGACUGUUGGCCAUGGUUGUUCAGGCCACUUUACCGCCAGAAAGACCAACGCCACCACUCCACAAGACUCACCAGGGUGAUGGGUUCAUCAGCCAACAACAAAACAGCAGAGAGAUGACCCAGGGCUCCAUUACCAGGAGCAUGGCAUUCAUAGCCGGGGAGGCUCACGUUCCUCAUCUGUAAAAUGAAGAGACUCCAACCUCACUCGCCUCCCUGACAGCCAUGUGCUAUUCAGACUCAUGAUGGUGGCCACAGUCACGUGGGUGGCUGGAGAGAGGGUGCCACGAGCCUGGGAGAGGUAGGGCCAGCGGAGUAAAGGUUGAGGGCUGGGGGCUACCUCAUGUGCUCCCCUGAGGAGUCAGCUCUCUGCCGCCCCUCUCCAAGAUGCCUGAGGUAGGCUUGGGAGGCAUGAGGACGACCUCAGCAUUUUUCACCAGCCCCACACACCUCACAACCCUCUGGACACCUGGAGAUGCAGGUCAAGACUGUCUGAGAACUAUUGGCAUAGUCUCUAUUUAUCCCCC
rnacentral:lncRNA from 13 species